CAACCUCCCAAAGUGCCGGGAUUACAAGCAUGAGCCACAGUGCCUGACCAGAAUAAUGUUGACAAAGGACGACUGCAGUGAUUGAAGACUUUGGGAGAGGGAGUGAGAAGGUCAACGUUGCCUGAUUUUGAGAAACCCUGCGUGUCUGCUUUUGCCUGAGUUUUCAGCCCUUGGCAAGAACAACAUGCCAGAUUCUCCUGUCCAGAACCUGUGCAGAUAUCCUACAAUAUGACUCCAUUGUGCUUUUGUCAGUGGUUCUGAGGUUGUUACAGGACUGCCAGUCCAAGGGGAGAACCUCAGACUCUUUUCUGAACCAGUGCAUCUUCAAGGAUUCUCAUUGUUCUUCUGGCUGUAGUAGGAGCAUUUUCUGAAGAAGAAACUGCUGAUCAAGGUGGAGGAGGAGAGAGCCUUGACAGCCUGGCCCAUGGCAGCAUGACACAAUCAUCUUUGUUCUUAAAAAAUGUCCCUGAGAUGUCACUGCUGAGGAGCACAGAGAUGGAAACAGAAAGUGAAUAUGGCUGACAACCAAAAUGAGUCUGCCCUAUAGAUCAUCCUGUACCAGAGAUCUACAGCAUAAUGGCCUGGAAGCAGUCUUUGUUUUGGAGCCAAGCCCAGCAAAGUCUCAAUUCCUUCCCCUUCAAUCGCCAUCUGGAUGAACAAGGCCAAGUCAUUGACCUUCUCUGGGCCUCAGUUUCCUCACCCAUAAACUGGAGUUAAACAUACCAAGACUUGAGGAAUUAUGUCCAAGGUUCCAGCAUUGAACAUGAAGAACGCAGGAUUUAUUGGCACGUCGUGAUAACCGUAAAGCCCACGCUUCUACUGCAGUGUUGAGUUUGCGUGCCCUUGGGACAGAAGACAGAAUAGAGGCUGAGAAAAUUGCUUGUUGGAAGAAUGAAUCCUGGGUCUGCUAUUACAAGAAACUUCUCAACUUCUAGC
rnacentral:lncRNA from 1 species